rnacentral:tRNA from 1 species
GAAAGGAUAAACUAAUUUAAGUUAUUGGGUUCAUGCCCCGAAUAUAGGAACAAUUGUUACCUUCCUUUCU